rnacentral:lncRNA from 1 species
CACAUUCAGUACAGUUAAAUAAUUUUCUUAGCAUGUUAUAUUCGCAUUACAUAUUUAAGCUUAUCUAAAGUUAUUUUUAAAACCACCAAAAAAUACCCAAGUGAUUUUAUCCUAGUCUACAUUUGUGUGAAUGUGUUUCCAAAGUAUAUAACCCAAUAUAGUUAUUUUACCUGCUUUGCACUAAUGUGAAUAUGGUUUGACAGUGCAUAAUUAGUUAUGGUGAUUUUACUCGCUCUGCAGUAUUAUGAAUGUGUUUUCAUAGUGUAUAAUUAGAUUAUAGCAUUUGGGCAGCUCUACGAGCGUAUGACCAAAAUUACAGAAUUUUAGAAUCUCAGAAUUGAAUAAUCUUGCCAUGUAAAUUGAGAUUAAUCGGUACGUGAGUAUGGUUAUUCCGGGUACGUUUUUGGUGUGAUUUUCAUUAAUAUAUACAGCUUAUCAGAUUUUAGAAUUUAGUUUAUUCAAUUUAAAGAAUAAAGAUUUCAGUUUAUAGUACUGUGAAAUGAUAUUUUUACUCAUAAUAUGGAUGUUAGAUUUAUUAUAUCCAUUAUACCUUAUAGUGAUUUAUUCAGUAAGAUUCCAUUAUAUUUUAAUCUUAGAAGUAUUACAUUUUAGAUUUUCUUAAAGUUGUAAUAGCAUAAGUAUUUUCAGAAAGCUUGUAUAACUUAAAAAAAUAUACUUAAUUACGAAAUAUCCACUCACUGAGUUACAAGCUCAUACAUUGUGUUAUCUCUUAUCUUAUCAGAUAGUAAUUGAGUUGAAUAGCAUUGGAGCCUGUUGAUCUACCUAUACCUAGUUGACAACACAUUAUCAUUUGUUGUAUGUCUUAACUUGUCAGUUUAUAUAGUUCAGAUUUUUGGGAUACAUGCAGUUUUUGUCAAGAAAUGGAUCAAUAUCAUGGACUCACUGCAUAUUUGGUAUCUUUUGAAUAUGUUGGGCAUUUAGGGUCUUUUGGCUUGUUAAGAAGUGUAAAUUUCAUUACCGUACACUAUAUUUUGAAUAGUUGUGUUUUGAGGGGUUGGUGUAUCUUAUUUUAAAUUAUAUUUACAGAUUUGAAAAAAAUGAUUUUUGUUAAGGUGAUUUUAGUCUAUAUUUUAGAGAAAAUUCUGUCAAAAUUUUUAUAAAAAUAUGUCAGUCAAAGCUAGUCAAAAGUUGCCUUGGUGGUGAAUCCAACACUUAGCUGGUAUCUACACUCGGUGCACGACACGUGUCGAGUUGAUUAGGGAGAUUUGGAACGAGUCGUGUCAAUAAGUCUGCAACAGACUGAAGGGUCAAUUUUCACUAUUACAAAGUUGCAUAAAGAAAAAUUCCCUGUACGGAGGGAAUUAUUCAGGUUGAAAGAAAGGGACAAUUUUCCAUUACUUUAACUAUAGACCAGUCAAAAUUAACUAACAAAAAUUGUAGCAAUUUGACAAUUUCAAGAAAAUAACCAUAAGGGUCCAUUUGAUUACAAAGAUGGAAUUUGAGUGGAAAGAAAACGAAUUUCAGAUAAUUAAAUUGCUUAGAAAUUAUUUUACUGGAAAUUAUCAAUUAUUGUAUUUG